rnacentral:rRNA from 1 species
GUAAGGAAUAUUGGUCAAUGGAGGCAACUCUGAACCAGCCAUGCCGCGUGCAGGAAGACGGCCCUCUGGGUUGUAAACUGCUUUUAUCCGGGAAUAAACCUGCCUUCGUGAAGGUAGCUGAAUGUACCGGAAGAAUAAGGAUCGGCUAACUCCGUGCCAGCAGCCGCGGUAAUACGGAGGAUCCAAGCGUUAUCCGGAUUUAUUGGGUUUAAAGGGUGCGUAGGCGGCCUGUUAAGUCAGGGGUGAAAGACGGUGGCUCAACCAUCGCAGUGCCCUUGAUACUGAUGGGCUUGAAUGGACUAGAGGUAGGCGGAAUGUGACAAGUAGCGGUGAAAUGCAUAGAUAUGUCACAGAACACCGAUUGCGAAGGCAGCUUACUAUGGUCCUAUUGACGCUGAGGCACGAAAGCGUGGGGAUCGAACAGGAUUAGAUACCCCUGUAGUCC